GGCAUUUGUGGCUUGUUGUUGUUAUGCGGAUGAGGGCUGGCAGGGGAUGGGGCACCAUGAUUGGACAGUAAAAAAUAAGGCGGGGACAGAGUUUUGGUAAGGGGAGAAAAUAAGGAGAGAAAAACCAAGACCGAGGCAGAGAAGGAUGACCCAGAUCCCUACGGCCUUAAAUGGCCUUAGACAGAAUCUCCCUACGGACCGCAGGCUGGCCCCAAAUCCCUGGUCCCUCCAGCUCAACCUCAGUUGAUGAGAUCCGCAGAGUUCCCACCAACGCUUCAAAGAGAUUGGCACAUCUGUCGUCUUGGAAGAGGACCCCAAACUUCACACUCAGUUUCCCAUCGGCAUCUAAUUUGAGAGACGCAGGAUUAGUAAAUGUCUUGCCUCCACGGACGGCAAACUUGGAACACCUUCUGGAAACACCUAGCCAGGGGUAACCAAGAUUAGAAUUUAACACCGGACCCCUUCCUACCCUGAAGGAGCAAAAUAAACAUAGUGUGCUUUCUAGACAAAACCUCAAAAGGACAGAAAGCAGCACUGAUAAAAUGUG
rnacentral:lncRNA from 1 species